rnacentral:rRNA from 1 species
GGGGAAUAUUGCACAAUGGGGGAAACCCUGAUGCAGCAACGCCGCGUGAGUGAUGACGGUCUUCGGAUUGUAAAGCUCUGUCAUCUGGGACGAUAAUGACGGUACCAGAUGAGGAAGCCACGGCUAACUACGUGCCAGCAGCCGCGGUAAUACGUAGGCGGCAAGCGUUGUCCGGAAUUACUGGGCGCAAAGGGUGCGCAGGCGGACAUUUAAGUGAGAUGUGAAAGACCCGGGCUUAACUUGGGCAGUGCAUUUCAAACUGGAUGUCUGGAGUGCAGGAGAGGAGAACGGAAUUCCUAGUGUAGCGGUGAAAUGCGUAGAGAUUAGGAAGAACACCAGUGGCGAAGGCGGUUCUCUGGACUGUAACUGACGCUGAGGCACGAAAGCGUGGGUAGCAAAC